rnacentral:rRNA from 1 species
AUUGAACGCUGGCGGCAGGCUUAACACAUGCAAGUCGAGCGAGCGGCGGACGGGUGAGUAAUGUCUGGGAAACUGCCUGAUGGAGGGGGAUAACUACUGGAAACGGUAGCUAAUACCGCAUACCCUCAGAUGUGCCCAGAUGGGAUUAGCUAGUAGGUGGGGUAAUGGCUCACCUAGGCGAAGAUCCCUAGCUGGUCUGAGAGGAAGACCAGCAACACUUGAACUGAUACACGGUCCAGAUGCCUACGGGAGGCAGCAGGGGGGAAUAUUGCACAAUGGGCGCAAGCCUGAUGCAGCCAGGCCGCGGGUGUGAAGAAGGCCUUCGGGUUGUAAAGCACUUUCAGCGAGGAGGCGUUACUCGCAGAAGAAGCACCGGCUAACUCCGUGCCAGCAGCCGCGGUAAUUC